rnacentral:rRNA from 1 species
AGCGAACGCUGGCGGCAGGCCUAACACAUGCAAGUCGAACGAACCUUUCGGGGUUAGUGGCGGACGGGUGAGUAACACGUGGGAACGUGCCUUUAGGUUCGGAAUAACUCAGGGAAACUUGUGCUAAUACCGAAUGUGCCCUUCGGGGGAAAGAUUUAUCGCCUUUAGAGCGGCCCGCGUCUGAUUAGCUAGUUGGUUGAGGUAAUGGCUCACCAAGGCGACGAUCAGUAGCUGGUCUGAGAGGAUGAUCAGCCACAUUGGGACUGCGACACGGCCCAAACUCCUACGGGAAGCAGCAGUGGGGAAUCUUGCGCAAUGGGCGAAAGCCUGACGCAGCCAUGCCGCGUGAAUGAUGAAGGUCUUAGGAUUGUGAAAUUCUUUCACCGGGGACGAUAAUGACGGUACCCGGAGAAGAAGCCCCGGCUAACUACGUG